UCAGAAUGUUGGUUAGAACAAAUAAUGCUUGAUGCAGUAUUUGCUGAUGCUACACAGCCACAAAGACUAUGUAACAUCCAUUGAGGUCAGCUGCAUGGACCCCACGCCUAAUUCAAAAGCAGUAUUUCGUUGAGAUUUUUAAAUCUAACCACCUACAACAUAUGUUGCUGAUGUCGUUGGUCAUAAAGGCUGAUCUAACAUCUCCAUAAACAGCGAUGUCCAAUUCAAAGCUAUUCUCUUAACUGAGAUGAUUAUAGUUUUUGCACGAUGAAAUUUGAUCGAAUAACCAACUUUAAUCUGAAAAAAUACCAGCGAGGAUUUCACGAUGUCUCAUCGGAAACUUAGUGUUCUACCUCUAGAAAGGAUCUGAAUGGAGUUACCAAUGUAUUUGCUCAAGAUGUGAUGAUUCAUCGAUCAUUGGUCUCUCCAAAAAAACAAGUAACAAAAGGUGUCAUCUCAUAUUGGCAUUUUAGUAAACUUCCUCGCAAAACACAAGGAUCUGAGAUAAGUUGCCUGUAUCAGUACAUGUCAUCCAAGUAGAGCAUCAUUCACCACUGAUUGUACUGGUCAGAAAAGUUACCACUGUCGUACUAAGAUGACUGAAAGUCUACAAAAUUGGGCAUGUUGUCUACAACAAGGACUUAAAGAUUGUCAAAAACAAUUCAUCAGUUGAGUAUCAAUGAGAGGUUUCUCUCCCACACAAGUAAUAAUUCACAGUACCUAAAAAACUUAUCAUCACUCUUUGGAAGGUAAAUUAUAUUCAACUGCUUAUAAAUAAUUGUUUCAAGCAUUCAAUUUUUUAAUCAUCAACAUAAAAAUAAUAUUUCUAUAUUUUAAGACAUAAAUUAAAAAUUAAUCAACACUUUUCUAAUUAUAUUUAUUAAAUAAUAAAUAA